UACGGAGGGUGCAAGCGUUAUCCGGAUUUACUGGGUUUAAAGGGUACGCAGGCGGAUUAAUAAGUCAGAGGUGAAAUCCCAUAGCUUAACUAUGAAACUGCCUUUGAUACUGUUAGUCUUGAGUCUUGUUGAGGUUGGUGGAAUGUGUGGUGUAGCGGUGAAAUGCGUAGAUAUCACGCAGAACGCCAGUUGCGAAGGCGGCUCACUGGACAAUGACUGACGCUCAUGGACGAAAGCGUGGGGAGCAAACAGG
rnacentral:rRNA from 1 species